rnacentral:lncRNA from 1 species
AUCCAGGCAGGAAGUGACAUAACAAGGAGACUCAUAUUUAAGCAAAGGAAACAGAAAGUGUCCCCUUUUCCCCUUUGCAUCCUCCAGUGGCAGUAUGUGAGCCACUGGCAAGAGAGGGCACCAGCGAAAGGCAUCCUCUAUAAGACCACUCCAUGCUUAAUGAAAGAAGAGAUGGCAUGGCACAGGAUCUACCGGAACAAGGCAGCAACAUCGAAUUUGAAACCAUUUACAUUGAUGAUAAAGCUCAAGUAAAACUGUAGGGGAAUUUCCUGGGAAACAACAGGUGCAACCUACUUUUGAAUUUUAUGUCUUCUUACAUAGCCUUGUAGAUAGACCAAGGCAUUUCACUUACUUAAUAGCCAGAGGGGAAAAUAAGACUAUGUACUGACUAAGGAUCCUUUCACGAGCCACUGGCUCUCAAUACUCACUGCUGUUGAAACAUUUCUCCCAGUUUGAAGUCCUAUAGUAGUGAUGAUAUUGCAGUCAGGAUGAAAAGUGAGUAUUUGGUAUAACAUGUGAUGCCCUGGAUGAUUGACUCCCUGCCUCUAUCCCUUCCUCAUACUGGAGCUUUUGGCCAUAGGCAUGUGCAGUCUCACCACUUAUAGUGUGGCUUUUUUCUCUGGGCAAAACACAAUCAGUGCAAUCUUGAAAUAGAUAUAACCUUUCCCUGCUAACCAUGGCAACAAAAUAAGCAGAAAAAUGCAGUAAUAGCUUGAUCCAUUGUAACAAUAAUAGAGGAGCUAUUGACACUCCCCAUUAGACAAGGGGGUGUCCGCAGAACCCUUACUAAGGAUUUCAGCUGUUACUCCAUCUUGCCACCCAGCUGCAAAUUAUCUUGGGAGAUUCUAGAGUAUAGGAAAUGGAAGGCUAACUGAAAGGGAGACACUAUGUUGCAGAUUCUAUGAUGGGGCGGGGUUUUGAGAUGGUGCAGCUGUUUUGAGGUCACCUAUGCUCCUGUAAGUAACUCUAUUCAUGCUCCUCCAAAUGAACCCAAUAAACUCAUUGGCUCACCCA